UACGUAGGGGACAAGCGUUGUCCGGAUUUAUUGGGCGUAAAGAGCGUGUAGGCGGUUUGGUAGGUCCGCUGUGAAAACUCGAGGCUCAACCUCGAGACGCCGGUGGAAACCAUCAGACUAGAGUCCGGAAGAGGAGAGUGGAAUUCCUGGUGUAGCGGUGAAAUGCGCAGAUAUCAGGAAGAACACCCGUGGCUAAGGCGGCUCACUGGCCCGAUACUGACGCUGAGGCACGAAAGCGUGGGGAGCAAACAGG
rnacentral:rRNA from 1 species